AUGAAUAGGUCUGUCCCAGUUUGGGCACGUACAUCUUCUGGCUGUUAUACCACUCUUCUGCUAGAUUAUUUUGACCCAUGAACCUUCAAUGCAGUAAAUCAGAUGAUGCGCCUACUGUUUCUUGCUUGAUGUUUCUUAGCAAGCAAACAUGGUAUGGUGGGUGGAUGCAAAGCUAGUUUACAUUUUUACGCUAGUUUUACUCCUCUGUAAAUCCUACUCAGAAAUGACUAAUCCCCAAGUUGAUUCCCCUUUCCCAUUCGGAUUAUUUUAUUUUCACUAGAUUUUGAUACUUAAUACAGUUUAACCAUUUAGAGCCUACCUGUUAAGAUUUAUCAAAUGCUAUAAGACUGGCUCUAGGGUAGGACCCCAUUAUUGCUUGUAUGCAGUAGUGAAUACCAGGAUUGUGAUAAAACCAAAGGCAAUGGAAAUAAUAAGACACCAACCCUCUAGAAAAAGCAGAAAUACUUGAAGGAAAAUGCACAGAAAAAGCAGAUUGCAAAAGAAACUGUGGCAAAUGCCUACGAGAAGUUGAGCAAGUAACCGAGUCCAGGGAAGCCCACCCAUCCUGGGUUUAUUCAUGAAUCUUCCCAUAGUGGCAGGGGCAGCUUGGGCCCUGCAGCCUCUGCUUAGCAGCUCUCAUUUUUUCCAGGAACAGUGCUACCCAGGAUUCAUCGCACUGCACUGAAGCCAGGAGGAUGCCAGCAAGGCAAAAAGCUAUGCUACUUUGUGAAGAGUUGUGCAACUAAUUCCUGCUGGGCUUAGGUCAGUCUGCAGAAGCUCAAAAAUGGCAGUAAGUCCCCUGGGUACUGUGGGGUACACUCACCAACGCUGGGACAUGUUGCCCCGGCUGCGUCUGCACCCUGGCUUUGCUUUUUGGCUGUCUCACAGUCCGCAUGGGAUCACCACAGGCCCCUGCUAGGAUCUGAUCUCACCACCCUUUGCAAGGAAGCAUACCUGAGUCAGGGCUGUUCUUUCGGGCAUUUUCUGGUGGGUUGGUGCUCCCCUGCCUCCCUUUCUCCUCCAAAGGAUCUACCACGGCAUCUGCAAUGCCCCCAGCAAGUCGAUGAGGGGCUCAGCAGGGUACAGCAGCCCAGACCAGAGCACAAGGUAGAACAGAAGGUCUGCGCUUUGGGGCCUGUGUGGCUACUUCUGCUGGUGAGCUAACAUCUAGGCUUACUGCAAUCAAUCACCUCAUUCUCCUGAGCAAGAUGAAAUAAAUCAAUAGCAAAGAUCUGAAUCCA
rnacentral:lncRNA from 1 species